rnacentral:rRNA from 1 species
UACUGGUUAGUGGCGGACGGGUGAGUAACACGUUGGUACCUACCCUCUAGUGGGGAAUAACUUCGAGAAAUCGAGGCUAAUACCGCAUGUGGUCUACGGAUCAAAGCAGUAAUGCGCUAGAGGAGGGGCCUGCGUCUGAUUAGCUUGUUGGUGAGGUAAAAGCUCACCAAGGCGACGAUCAGUAGCUGGAUCGAGAGGUUGACCAGCCACACUGGGACUGAGAUACGGCCCAGACUCCUACGGGAGGCAGCAGUGAGGAAUCUUCCACAAUGGACGAAAGUCUGAUGGAGCAAUGCCGCGUGCAGGAUGACGGCCUUCGGGUUGUAAACUGCUUUUAUAUGGGAAGAUUAUGACGGUACCAUAUGAAUAAGGACCGGCUAACUACGUG